ACGAUUGAGUUAGUAGGAUUCUACAUUUGUCAAACGUUGGCUUCUACAGUAUAACAAACCUUUAUAUUAAAUAAUUCUAUGUGUAGGCAAAAUUUUAAUAUAAAUAAUUAGUAGGAGAUAUUUAAGAUGAUAAUUUCACUACAGGAAAUGUAUGUAUUAAUAGCAUAGUAGUAUAGUGUUUUUAACAUUUAUGCUAUUGUAUACCAACACUGACCUUUAUAAUAGCGCUUAUAAAAUUUAAACGCUAUGUUUGUUAUCGCGGGAAAAUAAAAAAAUUAGCCGCGUUAAUUUGCAAAGUGUAAACGCCUAACCAUUGCAGAUCCAAAAUUAACUACUAUUGUAAAUUGACACAACACAUAAUUUAUUUUUCCCGCCAGAUACUUAGUGAAAAAACAAGUGUCUAAUCUUUUUUUAUUUUCCUUCUCAUCCUCGUUUUUCACUUCCCUCUUAUUCCAUUUCGUUUCUCAACCCUCCAAAAAAAAACUAAACACAAGAUAAACCCUAAAUCUUAGACCAUAAACUUAAAACACAACCCUAAAACUCAAAAAUUUUCUUAUUUUAAUUAUAAAUCUUAAGUUUAAAUAUAUUCAAGUUUUAACCUUUUAAAUUUUUAAUUUCAAACAUUAAUCUAAGCCUCAAACACUAAAUUAUACACUUAUAUAUAUCAUACCCUAAAUUAAUCACAUCCCCUAAACUCUAACUAAAAUUCUUAAAAUUCUAUUUUUUUAUUAAUUUAAAAAAAUUAAUUUUAAUUUCAAAUCUCAAAUCCAAUUCUCUAACCCUAAACUUAAAUAUAUACCAUAACAAAAAUCAUAUACCCUAAAUCAUAUUACAUAUACUCUAAACUUAUAUUUUAAAACUAAAUUUUAAAUACAAAAUAAAUGUAAUCAAUAAUUUGAAUAUAAUUUAUUUUUUAUAUAAAUAAAAUUAUUUAAACAAUAAAUUAUAAUUUCUAAAAUAAUUAUUAAUAAAAAUAGUUUUGGAUUGAUUAAUUUUCGACCACUGAUUGGUUUUAUUCCAAAGGUUAGAAGUUAAUUUUAGUUAAUCCUAUUACUUUCUCUUUAUUGGUCAAUGAUUUGUGGUCAUUGAUUGUUUUUCUACAGAGAUUAAUCUUCUCCAUCUUCUCCAUCAUUCGGCCAUCUUUUCUCAAUCUUCUUCAUCCAUCCUUGAAUCGUUAAACCUAAAAUCACAAAGUCUUCAGAUCUGCACACAGAGCUUGAUUCUAAUCAACCUCUUACGAUUCAACAUGUCUGGAUUCAACCCUCUCUUUCUCUCUCGCUCUCCCUCUCUCUCUCUCUCUCUCUCUCUCUCUCUCUCUCUCUCUCUCUCUCUCUCUCUCUCUCUCUCUCUCUCUCUCUCUCUCUCUCUCUCUCUCUCUCUCUCUCUCUCUCUCUCUCUCUCUCUCUCUCUCUCUCUCUCUCUCUCUCUCUCUCUCUCUCUCUCUCUCUCUCUCUCUCUCUCUCUCUCUCUAUCUCUAUCUCUAUCUCUAUCUCUCUCACUCAGCUAUGAUGAAAGCUUCGGCGACAACGCUUGACUCGAGUCAGAGAUGGCGAGUGACAACAGAGCAGCGCCGGUGGCAAGACGGAAGAUGGCUGUCCUUCAUAAGCAGAGGAGGAAAAGAGGCUUCGAUGGUUCAGCUCGCCGGAGAUGAAUAAAGGGGAAGUCUCAGCCUCUCUUUCCCAUGAACCUCGCCGGUCAAGCUCUCUCAAUCUCUCUACAACUUUUGCAAGUCUUUACUUCUGAAAUUUUAGGUUCUUUUGUGACUUAAAUCCAUAUGAGCUCAUUAGUAUUCGUGGAACUAAUUGUUUGGGGGAUUUAAUCUUAAUUCUUGUAAUUAUCUUUGUUUAUUUAAUCUAGCUUUGGUACUUAGGUUGAUGGGUUUUGCGCCUGCUACUGUCACCUUGCUCGUUUUUAUAACUUGAGGAAAUUAAGGAUCUUGUUGUUGACUUGAUGAGUAGUGAUGAAGAUAGUCUAGAAAGUAACACUUGAAUAUGUUUGAGCAUUUUUACUUCAAAUACUAUUUCUCUUUUCUAUUUUGUAGCUGGGAUUAUAAGAAACAGUUUCAGGGUUUGUCCUUUUUGAAUCUAAAUAAGUGGCAUGGUUUUGUAGAGUUUGAUGAUGUUAUUGGAAAGGUGCUGAGUGACAAGACUGUUGGCAAAGGUGACGAUGCUUUCAACACCUUCUUCAGCGAAACCGGUGCAGGGAAGCAUGUCCCUCAUGUUGUCUUUGUCGACCUUGAGCCCACCAUGAUCGACGAUGUUAGAACCCGUACUUACCGUCAGCUUUUCCACCUUGAACAGCUCAUCAGUGGUAAAGAAGACGCAGAUAACAUUACAGCAGUACGGUGAGAAAAAGUGAUGUUUUGGCCCUAUCUAUUGAUACAUCUUUUGAAGAAGAAAAACUAAUGCAUUUAUAUCUUAAAUGGUUUCUCAGCUGUUUACAUGGGGUUGGAAUCAAAGAGGUACAUUAGGACAUCCACCAAAGACGAAAACAGAAAGCCAAUGUCAAGAUUACACAGGUUAAGUUUGGAUUGUUCUUUUAAGAUGUAUUCUCAGGUUUGAAUAUUGAAUUACUUGUUCUGUUAUGAGACUUGCAUUUGAUUCUUAACGUAGAGAAAGGAAGCAAUGAGGAUUCUAGUCGGAGGAGAGAACUAGAAGGAGAGUCGGAGUAGACUCGUUGGUGUGAGUCCGAGAGAGAGACUUCAAGAGGCAGAGAGUUUUGAUUUUUUUUUUCUAAGUGUUUAGGCUUGUUAGUGCUUUGUGGGAUGUUUUGUGCUUUAAUGAUAAAUUUUGGCUAAAAAUGAAUUGGAGCCAAAACCCCAAAAUAUUAUUGGAGCCAAAUCUUUUUUUUUUAUUUAUCAAAUUGGAGCCAAAUCUUAUGGAGGGAAAUAUAACUGGAACAAAAUAUUAUCCUCUUGUAAUCCCUAAAACUAUAGAUUUUCAUAUUUUAAAGUGUAACCCCUGAAACUAUAACCCUGAAGAUAGUCAUCCUUGUCCUUCUUGUUAGACCAAUGAUAAUAUUCCUUCAUUUUUCAAUCAUUAAUUAAUUGUACCUUUUUUUAAUCAAUUUUUACAUGUAUUAUAAUUAUAUUAUAGUUUGAGUUUAAGUUUAAAAUUUAAAUAUAAGUUUAAUGAUCAGAUUUAUAGCUUGGAGAAUAAAAAUAGAGAUUUAGGGUAUAUGGUAUGGAAUAUAGGGUUUGGGUUUAAGAAUGAGAUAUAUAUAUAUAUCAUUUUAUUUUAACUUUGUCUAUCUAGAUUUAGAAUAGAAUAUAGGGUUUGAGUUUAAGAACUUAAUUAUGUUGAAUUAGGGAUUUUAAUCUCGGAUAUUAAAUCUAAACCUCAUACCCUAAACUAUACACAUAUAUAUAUCAUAACUCUAAAUUAAUCACACUCUAAUAUAACUUCAAUUUUAAACUUAAAAUCAAAAUUCAAUCAUAUUGUUUAUUGCAAAAUAGUUUUAUAUAAUUUAUAUGUUUGAGUGUAAACUAAAGAAUAUAUAUGUAUAGUAGCUUAGGGGUUUAUACAUUACACCUCAAACCCUAACAUUACACUUCAAACCGUAAACUCUACAUCCAAAUCUAAAUACAAACUGUCAUAUUAUUAUUUUCAAACAAUAAUCUCAAAUCUUAUCAUAACUCUAAAUAUCAUAUGUUUAAAUUCAUAAACUAAACUUCAAAUCUAAUAUUCUAUUCUUAGCUCUUAAAUCUUAAAACUAGCUUUACACUCAAAUUUAUACCCAAUUUCAAAAAUUUAAAGCUUAAAAUUUAAAUUAUAAACUACAAAAUAUAAAUUUUGAAUAAAACAUUAAUUUUAAAAAUGUAAAUACAAAAAAAAAUAUCAAAUAAUGAAAUACAAGACACAAAAAAAUAAAAAAAGAAAGACAAAGCUCUCUUGCCCAAUUAGAUCUAUAUACAAUUAUUCCAAAGGUUAGAAGUUAAUCUUAGUUAAUCCUAUUACUUUCUCUUUAUUGGUCAAUGAUUUGUGGCUAUUGAUUGUUUUUCUCCUGAGAACAAUCUUCUCCAUCACUCGGCCAUCUUUUCUCAUUCUUCUCCAUCCAUCCUUGAAUCGUUAAACCUAAAAUCACAAAGUCUUCAGAUCUGCACACAGAGCUUGACUCUAAUCAACCUUUUACGAUUCAACCUGUCUGGAUUCAACCCUCUCUCUCUCUAUCUCUAUCUCUCUCACUCAGCCAUGAUGAAAGCUUCGGCGACAACGCUUGACUCGAGUCAGAGAUGGCGAGUGACAACAGAGCAGCGCCGGUGGCAAGGCGGAAGACGGAUGUCCUUCAUAAGCAGAGGAGGAGAAGAGGCUUCGAUGGUUCAGCUCGCCGGAGAUGAAUAAAGGGGAAGUCUCAGCAUCUCUUUGCCGUGAACCUCGCCGGUCAAGCUCUCUCAAUCUCUCUACAACUUUUGCAAGUCUUUAUUUCUGAAAUUUUAGGUUUUUUUGUGACUUUGUUAAAUCUAUACGAGCUCAUUAGUAUUCAUGGAACUAAUUGUUUGGGGGAUUUAAUCUUAAUUCUUGUAAUUAUCUUUGUUUAUUUAAUCUAGCUUUGGUACUUAGGUUGAUGGGUUUUGCGCCUGCUACUGUCACCUUGCUCGUUUUUAUAACUUGAGGAAAUUAAGGAUCUUGUUGUUGACUUGAGGAGUAGUGAUGAAGAUAGUCUAGAAAGUAACACUUGAAUAUGUUUGAGCAUUUUUACUUCAAAUACUAUUUCUCUUUUCUAUUUUGUAGCUGGGAUUAUAAGAAACAGUUUCAGGGUUUGUCCUUUUUGAAUCUAAAUAAGUGGCAUGGUUUUGUAGAGUUUGAUGAUGUUAUUGGAAAGGUGCUGAGUGACAAGACUGUUGGCAAAGGUGACGAUGCUUUCAACACCUUCUUCAGCGAAACCGGUGCAGGGAAGCAUGUCCCUCAUGUUGUCUUUGUCGACCUUGAGCCCACCAUGAUCGACGAUGUUAGAACCCGUACUUACCGUCAGCUUUUCCACCUUGAACAGCUCAUCAGUGGUAAAGAAGACGCAGAUAACAUUACAGCAGUACGGUGAGAAAAAGUGAUGUUUUGGCCCUAUCUAUUGAUACAUCUUUUGAAGAAGAAAAACUAAUGCAUUUAUAUCUUAAAUGGUUUCUCAGCUGUUUACAUGGGGUUGGAAUCAAAGAGGUACAUUAGGACAUCCACCAAAGACGAAAACAGAAAGCCAAUGUCAAGAUUACACAGGUUAAGUUUGGAUUGUUCUUUUAAGAUGUAUUCUCAGGUUUGAAUAUUGAAUUACUUGUUCUGUUAUGAGACUUGCAUUUGAUUCUUAACGUAGAGAAAGGAAGCAAUGAGGAUUCUAGUCGGAGGAGAGAACUAGAAGGAGAGUCGGAGUAGACUCGUUGGUGUGAGUCCGAGAGAGAGACUUCAAGAGGCAGAGAGUUUUGAUUUUUUUUUUCUAAGUGUUUAGGCUUGUUAGUGCUUUGUGGGAUGUUUUGUGCUUUAAUGAUAAAUUUUGGCUAAAAAUGAAUUUUCCAACUAAUUGUGACUUGUUUCGAAUGACGUUCCCUUCCUCAUCAGUCUUGUUCUUGUGAAUCCACUUGGUUCCAAUGAUGUUUACAUUCUUUGGUCUUGGUACCAAUACCCACACUUGGAGUCGUUCAAACUGCUGAAGUUCAAGGUGCAUCGAUUCAGUCCAGAAUUCAUCAUCUAAUGCUUCCUGAAUGUUUAGACCAAUGAUAAUAAUCCUUCAUUUUUCAAUCAUUAAUUAAUUGUACCUUUUUUUAAUCAAUUUUUACAUGUAUUAUAAUUAUAUUAUAGUUUGAGCUUAAGUUUAAAAUUUAAAUAUAAGUUUAAUGGUCAUAUUUAUAGCUUGGAGAAUAAAACUAGAGAUUUAGGGUAUAUGGUAUGGAAUAUAGGGUUUGGGUUUAAGAAUGAUAUAUAUAUAUAUAUAUAUAUAUAUAUAUAUAUAAAAUAUAUCAUUUUAUUUUAAUUUUAUCUAUCUAGAUUUAGAAUAGAAUAUAGGGUUUGAGUUUAAGAACUCAAUUAGGUUGAAUUAGGAAUUUUAAUCUCAGAUAUUAAAUCUAAACCUCAUACCCUAAGCUAUACACAUAUAUAUAUAUCAUAACUCUAAAUUAAUCACACUCUAAUAUAACUUCAAUUUUAAACUUAAAAUCAAAAUUCAAUCAUAUUGUUUAUUGCAAAAUAGUUUUAUAUAAUUUAUAUGUUUGAGUGUAAACUAAAUGAUAUAUAUGUAUAGUAGCUUAGGGGUUUAUACAUUACACAUCAAACCCUAACAUUACACUUCAAACCGUAAACUCUACAUCCAAAUCUUAAUACAAACUAUCAUAUUAUUAUUUUCAAACAAUAAUCUCAAAUCUUAUCAUAACUCUAAAUAUCAUAUGUUUAAAUUCAUAAACUAAACUUCAAAUCUAAUAUUCUCAUCUAGAUUUAGAAUAGAAUAUAGGGUUUGAGUUUAAGAACUCAAUUAGGUUGAAUUAGGAAUUUUAAUCUCAGAUAUUAAAUCUAAACCUCAUACCCUAAGCUAUACACAUAUAUAUAUAUCAUAACUCUAAAUUAAUCACACUCUAAUAUAACUUCAAUUUUAAACUUAAAAUCAAAAUUCAAUCAUAUUGUUUAUUGCAAAAUAGUUUUAUAUAAUUUAUAUGUUUGAGUGUAAACUAAAUGAUAUAUAUGUAUAGUAGCUUAGGGGUUUAUACAUUACACAUCAAACCCUAACAUUACACUUCAAACCGUAAACUCUACAUCCAAAUCUUAAUACAAACUAUCAUAUUAUUAUUUUCAAACAAUAAUCUCAAAUCUUAUCAUAACUCUAAAUAUCAUAUGUUUAAAUUCAUAAACUAAACUUCAAAUCUAAUAUUCUCUUCUUAGAUCUUAAAUCUUUAAACUAGCUUUACACUCAAAUUUAUACCCAAUUUCAAAAAUUUAAAACUUAAAAUUUGAAUUAUAAACUACAAAAUAUAAAUUUUGAAUAAAACAUUAAUUUAAAAAAUGGAAAUACAAAAAAAAUCAUCAAAUAAUGAAAUACAAGACACAAAAAAAUAAAAAAGAAAGACAAAGCUCUCUUGCCCAAUUAGAUCUAUAUACACGGAUCAUCUUCUAAGCCGUUGGAUUAUAAUAAAUCAAAGGCUGAGAUUUAAUCGUUUUUUUUCUCCUCACAGGCUCCCUCUCUCUCUCCAGACAGAUUCAUUCUUCUUCUUUUUUUCUUUUUUUGUUUCUUCUUUUCAUCUUCUCUGCUCUCAUCUUUCCCACCGAUUUUGAAGCCUCGAUUUCGUGUUGAUGGUGGUGGAAGAGCAGAAAUAUUAGGGAUGAUUGUGAAGGAUUAUUAAUGGUAGAUUGAUACUAUGUUUGUUAGGUUUUGAUGGUUUAGGUAAACAAGGAUAUGUUUUAUGGUUUUGUAAACAGUUUUUUUUUAACGGAUCAUCUUCUAAGCCGUUGGAUUAUAAUAAAUCAAAGGCUGAGAUUUAAUCGUUUUUUUUCUCCUCACAGGCUCCCUCUCUCUCUCCAGACAGAUUCAUUCUUCUUCUUUUUUUCUUUUUUUGUUUCUUCUUUUCAUCUUCUCUGCUCUCAUCUUUCCCACCGAUUUUGAAGCCUCGAUUUCGUGUCCACGGCCCUGUUAUCUUCCUCAAGCCUCGAUUUCAUCUCUACCGAUGACGCCGAGAUCUAGUUCCGCCAAUACACAAAGCUGUUCAACUUCCCUCUCAAAGUUUCAUUUUUGGAUUUGUCUCUAAGUUCUUCGCAAAGGCAAGACUUGGAUUUGCCUCAAAACUGACUCGAUUGAUGUUUCUCUUUUGCUGAACUUCUCGAUCUCAACAGCCUGAUGAAAAACCUGGUUAUAAAGUUGGUUCAUUUGUCUUAUACUUUCGUUGAAAUGAGACAAGACCUGACUGGUUUUCUUAAGGAGAAGAAAAUGGAGAUGUGUCGGAGAAGACUGGUUUCAAGCUCGCCGCCAGCAUGAUGAAGAUCAGGUUAUUAAUCGGACUCGGAUUAGGCAUCUCUGCUCUCUUUCUUGUUGGCCUCUUCUUUCUUCCUCGGUCUUUGGAUUCUCAUGGUGAGCUAAGUGUUGAUUCCACUGUCAUUACUGCUUUCUCAAGUGCAGGUGAUCUAAAUAAUUUCUCCAGUGUUGAAUUUUAAUAAGCAAUCUUUGUUUUUCUUUUGUGUGUGUGUGUUCAGGACAUUUGACAGAAGCCGAGGAGCCAGAAGAUAUCUUUCAGGUCGAUAAAGGCAAAGGUACUAAUGAAUCUGACAUGAGUUGUGUUCCAUUGUUUUGAAUUUUGAGUUGUCGUAUGAAUGGCUUAUGUUUCUUAUUUUUCUGUGGUGGUAGCUUCAUGGAGAGCUAGAGGCUAAGUCCCUUGGUGCUCCUGGAACCUGUGUUGCUGAAUUGGUGUUUAACACUUCCUUGACAGGGUGAGAUUUUUUAGGUUGAAUCCAUGCUUACUGCAUUUUUUUGACCUGAGUUUGAUAUUGGCCUGAGAAGAUUUGUGCUUUUUAACCUGCAGUUAGAGGCGUGGAUCUUAGAUGGAGUUGGAGUCGAGCAAGAUGGAAGAGAGGAGAUGGAGUUGGUUCAGAAGCUAGAAAAGAGAGAUAGAUGAGAAGGUUGAUGGUGGUGGAAGAGCAGAAAUGUUAGGGAUGAUUGUGAAGGAUUAUUAGUGGUAGAUUGAUACUAUGUUUGUUAGGUUUUGAUGGUAUAGGUAAACAAGGAUAUGUUUUAUGGUUUUGUAAACAUUUUUUUUUUAGUUUUUAUGAUAUGAUAAAUUAUUUUAAUUACAAAUAUUCGAAAGAAAUAUUAUAUUUAAAAAAAUCAAUUUGUAAUUAUUAUUAAUAAAUUUUCGGAUAAUUAAAAAACUAAUAAAUAAUACGAAAAAUUUGCUAUCUUUACUAUUGGAAAAAUCAAAUUAAUGAGUUUUAAUAAAAUUUGUAUCACGUUAUUAUAAAUAUUAACAAUUGCAUUCAAACGUUGAUACAAAUGUAUAGUUAACUAUAUCAUACAAAACGGCUAUUAAAAGUGUCGAACCUAUUAUAACGGGCGCUGUCAGAGCGGAAAAGGAAGCGCUAUUAUAUAGGAUUCAUAGCAUUUUUCGUCUGCUAUUACUACCCUUAUUUCCUAUAGUGAUAAACUCUACGAAACACUCUCGGUUUUGUGAAUUACGCUAAGGGAAUUUUGCUGUUGGUUUUGAUGUCAAAAAUGUUGAGAAAUAAAUGAAGAGGAGAGGCGAUAUUUAAAGAGACGGAGAAGACCCACUUCCCGCAACAGCUGCUGCACGUGGGCAAGAAUCUCGCGGAGAUCGAGAGAAGUUGAGUUGCGAAACUUAUUCCCCAAGACUCUCUCUUAUCUCAUUUAAAACUUUCGAAAGGAUAAAAUGCAUGACGUCUUAAUUUUCUAGACAAACUACUUGUCGUUUUAAAUAAAAUUGCAUGUUGUUUUUUCCCGAAAUGAAUGGCAAAACGUUGAGCUUAACUUGGUCUAAAAGAAUCAUAUUGGGCCAGAGGCCCUCCACCAUGCCCGAGCCGAGCCAGCCGGACAGCAGCGGCGGGCGUGUGGGAGACUUCCUCUCUCCUUGAACCGUUAAACCACUCAUAACACAUGAGGAUAUAUGUACUGCUCAUCCCCUCUCUACUUCCCCGAUGUGGGAUGUUCUUAAGUUUCAUUCACUAAAGCCAACCAGGCUUUUGCCAUGUGACCCGUAGGCCCAUUUGUAUUCACAUAUUGCCUUUUAUUAAUUUAGUCAUUAGGCUAUAAUAUUAGGCCCAACAUCGCGAACCCUUCUCAUUCAACAGAAUUUCCAAAGACAGAGCAGCGAAACAAAAAACGAUAUCUCCUCAAUAAAUUGAUCAUUUUACUUUCUCACAGUGUGAGAUGUAAUUUCAGUUUCUGAUCACAAGUCUCUUUGCAUUGGUCAUGUUCACAUGUUAAACAUAUUGGCAGAACUCCUCUGCUUGGGGGAUCGUGAAGUCUACAAAGAUUGGUGGAAUGCAAAAAAAGUGUGGGAGAUGUCAGUUGUCUCUUACUCAAGCAGAUGAUUGCUUAGUUCUCGUUGUUUUCAGGUCACGAACUAACCAAAUUUCAUGUGCACACUGUCUUCCUUUAUCAGUAUUGGAGAAUGUGGAACAUGGUAUGGCCAGAGGCACUUGAGAGGAAACCCGAUACGGUGAAUCCGAGGUGGUCUCCGCUGGCCACGUAGAUAUGGACUAUUACUUUCGGCCCAUUUGAAUGCCCAUGAGAGGGUCCAUCCCUGGGCUGUACCUCCACCAAGAGGUUAAGUCUGUGCCUUUAAUAGACUUGGGUUUAACCCUUUUACUUUUACAAAAAAAAAACAAAAAACAUGGCACAGCUCUUCUCUUCCUAAAACACCGCCUUUUUAUACGAAACAGUAGAAGAGACCUAAUGGAGAUCUUGUUUUCUUAGUAGCCUGUUCAUAAAUGGAUGGUUUGACAUAUAUAGUGUAAGUCAAAGAACACGUUUUUGUGUUGGCCGGUGAUGACGGUAAUGACGGUGAGAGAUGACAAAGAAGUCAACAAAAGAGAAACUUCAUUUUGUAUAUAAUUGUGGCUUUGUGGCUUUCACAUAUCCAAGCUUCUCCUAUAAAUACUCAACGUAAGUAGAAGAGAAGAUGCAUCCCAAAACAAAGAAGAACACAAGAGUAAAGUGUUCAAGAGAGAAAUAAGUUUUUUUUUUUGUGAGAAAAAAAUUCUCUUGUAAGAAAAUUAAGAAUAAUUUUCUUGAAUGUAUUUGGGGUCGGGUGUGAGUUGAGAGCUUGCAAAAAUUUCCCGGGUUGAUAAUAAAAGAUCUGUAGCAGGUCCGGAGACGUAGGCAAUAUUGGCCGAACUCCAUUAACAAUUUUGUGUGUUUUCCGGCUCCCAUAAAUUCGGUUUUUCGCAAAAUUUGACCGCACAUUUCCUAACAACUGGUAUCAGAGCUUGAGUUACGGUGAUCGGUCAAAUUUUUGCGGAGUUACUAUUCACAUGAACAGUAAUUCGUAAAUAGUGAAUUUUGUCGGUAACAUUGGUUUGUCUACAAAGGUGUUCUAAUACACGGUGGUUCCAAAAAUGAUGGGAGGCGAAGAUGGUUCGGCGCACAGUAUCGGGAAAUUUGACGGUACAGAUUAUGCAUUUUGGAGAAUGCAAAUUGAAGAUUAUCUGUAUGGAAAGAAGCUUCAUCAACCGCUGAGCAAGAAGCCUGAGAAGAUGGAUCAGGAUGAGUGGGAGCUCCUUGACAGACAAGUUCUGGGUGUUAUAAGGUUAACAAUGUCGAAAAACGUUGCUCACAACAUUGCGAAGGAGAAGACUGAUGUUAGGAGUUUUCAAGGAUAUAUCAUUUUAUUUUAAUUUUAUCUAUCUAGAUUUAGAAUAGAAUAUAGGGUUUGAGUUUAAGAACUCAAUUAGGUUGAAUUAGGAAUUUUAAUCUCAGAUAUUAAAUCUAAACCUCAUACCCUAAGCUAUACACAUAUAUAUAUAUCAUAACUCUAAAUUAAUCACACUCUAAUAUAACUUCAAUUUUAAACUUAAAAUCAAAAUUCAAUCAUAUUGUUUAUUGCAAAAUAGUUUUAUAUAAUUUAUAUGUUUGAGUGUAAACUAAAUGAUAUAUAUGUAUAGUAGCUUAGGGGUUUAUACAUUACACAUCAAACCCUAACAUUACACUUCAAACCGUAAACUCUACAUCCAAAUCUUAAUACAAACUAUCAUAUUAUUAUUUUCAAACAAUAAUCUCAAAUCUUAUCAUAACUCUAAAUAUCAUAUGUUUAAAUUCAUAAACUAAACUUCAAAUCUAAUAUUCUCUUCUUAGAUCUUAAAUCUUUAAACUAGCUUUACACUCAAAUUUAUACCCAAUUUCAAAAAUUUAAAACUUAAAAUUUGAAUUAUAAACUACAAAAUAUAAAUUUUGAAUAAAACAUUAAUUUAAAAAAUGGAAAUACAAAAAAAAUCAUCAAAUAAUGAAAUACAAGACACAAAAAAAUAAAAAAGAAAGACAAAGCUCUCUUGCCCAAUUAGAUCUAUAUACACGGAUCAUCUUCUAAGCCGUUGGAUUAUAAUAAAUCAAAGGCUGAGAUUUAAUCGUUUUUUUUCUCCUCACAGGCUCCCUCUCUCUCUCCAGACAGAUUCAUUCUUCUUCUUUUUUUCUUUUUUUGUUUCUUCUUUUCAUCUUCUCUGCUCUCAUCUUUCCCACCGAUUUUGAAGCCUCGAUUUCGUGUCCACGGCCCUGUUAUCUUCCUCAAGCCUCGAUUUCAUCUCUACCGAUGACGCCGAGAUCUAGUUCCGCCAAUACACAAAGCUGUUCAACUUCCCUCUCAUAGUUUCAUUUUUGGAUUUGUCUCUAAGUUCUUCGCAAAGGCAAGACUUGGAUUUGCCUCAAAACUGACUCGAUUGAUGUUUCUCUUUUGCUGAACUUCUCGAUCUCAACAGCCUGAUGAAAAACCUGGUUAUAAAGUUGGUUCAUUUGUCUUAUACUACAGGAUUCAUAGUGUUUUUCGUCUGCUAUUACUACCCUUAUUUCCUGUAGUGUUUAGGCGGUAAAUUUUUAGUUUCAAAUACUAUCUUAAUUAGAUUGAGUUAUUUUAGGUUGGUCCGCAUCUUAAAUGAUUUAAUUAUAUUUAGUCGCAACAUUUUUAAUAGGUCAAAAUUUAAAACAUGCCAAGAUAAAUUUUAAAUAAGACACUAAAUUAAUAGAUUAGAAUAUAUAUAUAUAAGAUAGUCCCUGUAAUUGUUGUUGGAAUAUUUGGGAAUGCCAUUGGUACAUUUUUAGGGAUUGUAUUUGAAGUAAAAGUUCUCAAACUCAUUUGAUGUUCAAUUCCUAUGCAUGUAAUGAAUAAGUUCUGCUACCUAUACUAGUGGAAUCCUCACAAGACUUAUCUCAUUAUUAUUUUUUUGUCCUCACUGGCAUAAUUUUCGCCUUUAUUGAAAAACAAAUCAAAAUAAAGAUUCAAAUAGCAAUUAAAAAAAAAGAAAAAAAGAUAUUUAGAAAGAAGAUUUUUAAAGGAAGAGAAAGUUACAAACCCCAAAAUCUCGAAGAUAAAAAGAAAAAUGAAGAAAAAAUCUCUUCUUCAGAAAACCAAAAACAUCGUUUGACUCAUAAAUAAAAGCAACAAACAUUGUCAUGACAUUAUUUCUCCUCUUAUUAGACAAAUGUUUUUUAAAUGAAAUGCUAAUCAAACAACACAAAACAAAACAAAACAAACAUAAAGAGAGAGGUUCUAUUAAAAAACCUAAAAGAUUCUUUUAUGUUAUUUUGUUCUCAUCACCCUCUUUGUUCUCGUUGCUGUUGCUUUUUUUUUUUUUAACAACAAAAGGCUCAGAACCUAAAAAGAUCCCUGAUCCGAGAGCCACUUCGGGGGAACUGAAUCAACAUAAACCAUAGCAGAUAGAGAAGUCCUAGCACUUCGUACCAGCUUGUCCGCCAGAGUAUUUUGUGCCCUUGGAAUAUGUCGGAUAGUGAAGUUGAGAAAGAAUUCCUUACAUCACAGAAACCCAUCUAUAUGUGUAGUGAACGCUGGCCAUUCUGUCGGUGUGGACACCAUCUUCACCAAUUGAGAGCAGUCCGUUGCAAACACCACCUCUGAGAUUUUUAGGGUCUUCAUGCACUCCAUCGCCCAUAUCAAAGCUUCACAUUCAGCAUGUAAAGGUGAUAGACUCCUGCGAAUAGACAUUGCACCCAUCAUAGUAUCACUGGAUCCAUCUUCUCUGUAGACCCAUCCUUGACCCGUGUAAGGAUCUUGUUCCUUCCAUGACAAACAUAAAGAGAGAGGUUCUAUUAAAAAACCUAAAAGAUUCUCUUAUGUUAUUUUGUUCUCAUCACCCUCUUUGUUCUCGUUGCCGUUGUUUUUUUUUUUUAACAACAAAAUGCUAAGAACCUAAAAAGAUCCCUGAUCCGAGAGCCACUUCGGGGGAACUGAAUCAACAUAAACCAUAGCAGAUAGAGAAGUUCUAGCACCUCGUGCCAGCUUGUCCGCCAGAGUAUUUUGUGCCCUUGGAAUAUGUCGGAUAGUGAAGUUGAGAAAGAAUUCCUUACAUCACAGAAACCCAUCUAUAUGUGUAGUGAACGCUGGCCAUUCUGUCGGUGUGGACACCAUCUUCACCAAUUGAGAGCAGUCCGUUGCAAACACCACCUCUGAGAUUUUUAGGGUCUUCAUGCACUCCAUCGCCCAUAUCAAAGCUUCACAUUCAGCAUGUAAAGGUGAUAGACUCCUGCGAAUAGACAUUGCACCCAUCAUAGUAUCACUGGAUCCAUCUUCUCUGUAGACCCAUCCUUGACCCGUGUAAGGAUCUUGUUCCUUCCAUGCACCAUCAAUGUAACACUUGUCGACACCAUGGGGAAAAUAGUUCUCUGCAAUAUGUAGAGAUCCACGAUUCAUAGACUCAUUUGUCUGAGAUUCAGCCCACAAAACACCUUCAAUCUCUGUAGUCCGGAGAAUAUCAAAAGGGGUCCUCGUCUGAUUCUGAAAAACUUUAGCGUUUUGAUUCUUCCAAAUAUACUACAAUAUCCAUGGAAAAUUAUUCAAAUCCAGUUCCUUGGGUAACCGCCAAAAAAAUAGUCCAUAUUUGUAAAAAGAGACGGGGUGGGGAAUUCCCCUGGGCAUGAGAGAAUAUUGGAUAAAGCCCAAGUUUGUAGUGCUAAUGGACACUCAAACAGCACAUGAUUAAUAGAUUCUUCCACAUAACCACAUAUUUGACAUUGCAUAUCACAUUUUAUCCCUCUUGAAUGAAGAUUUUUUGUUACCGGUAGACUACCAGAGAGUAUUUGCCAAACAAAUGUCUCAAUUUUGGUGAACAUUGAAGUUUCCAAGAAUAAGCCAUGAGUGGUUUGGUAUCUGGUCCCAAAACUCUAUCCUGAGUUUCCCUAUCCGGAAAUAAUUUAUCCGUUCUAUAACCUGAUUUAAUCGUAUGUCUACCAUGAUCCGUAAAAUGCCAGCCAUAUGAAUCUCCGUAUAAUAUCCACAUCAUCCUGAUGAAUAUAAACUUUGAGCAAAUUCAAGUUCCAAGAAAAAUCGACAGGGUUAAUUAAAUCUUCCACCUUAAGUAGUGGAUUCAAAUAUUUAUUCGGGCAUUUUGGAAUUGCUGACUUUGGGCGAGGAGCAGGGAUCCAAGGAUCAUUCUAGACUGAAAUGCUUGAACCAGUUCCCACUCUUUUGAUUAGCCCUUUAUUAACCAGAGGUUUAGCUGGCGUAAUACUUCUCCAACCAUAUGAAGGAGAAUAUUAUCUGAUUAGAUCCAAAGGAUCAGAUUUCCUAUAGUAUCUUCCUUUAAAAACUCUUGCGAAAAGAGAAUCAGGUUUAUCUAUUAACCUCCAUAGCUGUUUUGCUAAUAACGCCGUUUUAAAAUUUUGAAUAUCUCUAAAACCAAUACCACCGUCCACUUUAUCUCAUAGACUCAUUUGUCUGAGAUUCAGCCCACAAAACACCUUCAAUCUCUGUAGUCCGGAGAAUAUCAAAAGGGGUCCUCGUCUGAUUCUGAAAAACUUUAGCGUUUUGAUUCUUCCAAAUAUACUACAAUAUCCAUGGAAAAUUAUUCAAAUCCAGUUCCUUGGGUAACCGCCAAAAAAAUAGUCCAUAUUUGUAAAAAGAGACGGGGUGGGGAAUUCCCCUGGGCAUGAGAGAAUAUUGGAUAAAGCCCAAGUUUGUAGUGCUAAUGGACACUCAAACAGCACAUGAUUAAUAGAUUCUUCCACAUAACCACAUAUUUGACAUUGCAUAUCACAUUUUAUCCCUCUUGAAUGAAGAUUUUUUGUUACCGGUAGACUACCAGAGAGUAUUUGCCAAACAAAUGUCUCAAUUUUGGUGAACAUUGAAGUUUCCAAGAAUAAGCCAUGAGUGGUUUGGUAUCUGGUCCCAAAACUCUAUCCUGAGUUUCCCUAUCCGGAAAUAAUUUAUCCGUUCUAUAACCUGAUUUAAUCGUAUGUCUACCAUGAUCCGUAAAAUGCCAGCCAUAUGAAUCUCCGUAUAAUAUCCACAUCAUCCUGAUGAAUAUAAACUUUGAGCAAAUUCAAGUUCCAAGAAAAAUCGACAGGGUUAAUUAAAUCUUCCACCUUAAGUAGUGGAUUCAAAUAUUUAUUAUAGACUCAUUUGUCUGAGAUUCAGCCCACAAAACACCUUCAAUCUCUGCAGUCCGGAGAAUAUCAAAAGGGGUCCUCGUCUGAUUCUGAAAAACUUUAGCGUUUCGAUUCUUCCAAAUAUACUACAAUAUCCAUGGAAAAUUAUUCAAAUCCAGUUCCUUGGGUAACCGCCAAAAAAGAUAGUCCAUAUUUGUAAAAAGAGACGGGGUGGGGAAUUCCCCUGGGCAUGAGAGAAUAUUGGAUAAAGCCCAAGUUUGUAGUGCUAAUGGACACUCAAACAGCACAUGAUUAAUAGAUUCUUCCGCAUCACCACAUAUUUGACAUUGCAUAUCACAUUUUAUCCCUCUUGAAUGAAGAUUUUUUGUUACCGGUAGACUACCAGAGAGUAUUUGCCAAACAAAUGUCUCAAUUUUGGUGAACAUUGAAGUUUCCAAGAAUAAGCCAUGAGUGGUUUGGUAUCUGGUCCCAAAACUCUAUCCUGAGUUUCCCUAUCCGGAAAUAAUUUAUCCGUUCUAUAACCUGAUUUAAUCGUAUGUCUACCAUGAUCCGUAAAAUGCCAGCCAUAUGAAUCUCCGUAUAAUAUCCACAUCAUCCUGAUGAAUAUAAACUUUGAGCAAAUUCAAGUUCCAAGAAAAAUCGACAGGGUUAAUUAAAUCUUCCACCUUAAGUAGUGGAUUCAAAUAUUUAUUCGGGCAUUUUGGAAUUGCUGACUUUGGGCGAGGAGCAGGGAUCCAAGGAUCAUUCUAGACUGAAAUGCUUGAACCAGUUCCCACUCUUUUGAUUAGCCCUUUAUUAACCAGAGGUCUAGCUGGCGUAAUACUUCUCAAACCAUAUGAAGGAGAAUAUUAUCUGAUUAGAUCCAAAGGAUCAGAUUUCCUAUUGUAUCUUCCUUUAAAAACUCUUACGAAAAGAGAAUCAGGUUUAUCUAUUAACCUCCAUAGCUGUUUUGCUAAUAACGCCGUUUUAAAAUUUUGAAUAUCUCUAAAACCAAUACCACCGUCCACUUUAUCUUUGCACAUUUUGUCCAUGAAAACCAAUGCAUACCUUUUGUAUUACCGGUACCACCCCACCAAAACUGGGCAAACGUAUUGUUUAGUUUUUUCGUAACCGUUUUUGGUAACCGAAAGCAGGACAUAACAUGAGUUGGCAUAGGUGAUGCCACUGCUUUAAUUAAAACUUCCUUUCCGCCUUUCGUAACGAAUCGAAUAGUCCAAUUAUUACCUUUAUUAUUAACUCUUUCAUUAAGAAAACCAAAAACCUGUGUUUUAGAUCCCCCAAGACUCUCAGGUAUUCCCAAAUAUGUUUACAUUCCACCAAUUGUAUUAAUUCCCAAAACCUGUUGUACCUCCAAACGGACUGCGUUUGGGACUUUAUGUCACACUGUAGGGAAGACUUCAGAAAAUUAAUCUGCUGCCCCGACGCUCUUUCAUAGUCUUUCAGAAUCUGUAGAAUAACCUCACAUUCUUGCCUAUUGGCUUUGCUAAAGAAAAGACUAUCAUCCGCAAAUAAUAAAUGUGAAAUUGCCGGACUACCACACACAAUUUUGAGCCCCGUUAGUAACUUUUCCUCUUCCUUUUUCCUUAUAUCCGCUAUUAGUGCCUCAGUACACAAAAUAAACAAAUAAGGUGAUAAUGGAUCAUCUUGACGAAGUCCUCGGUUUGGUACAAUAUGUCCUUUUGGUUGACCAUUGAUCAAAACUUUAUAUUGUACCGACGUAAUGCAAGACAUAAUCCGAGAUACCCACCUCUGUGUAAACCCCAGCUUUAGCAGCAUUGCCUCAAUAAAAGGCCAUUCAACUCUAUCAUAUGCCUUGCUCAUAUCUGUCUUAAUAGCCAAAAAUUUCUCCUUACAUGAAUUAUUCGUUCUUAAUCCAUGAAACAUCUCCUGGGCAAUUAAUAUAUUAUCUGAAAUUAGUUUCCCAGAAACAAAAGCUGAUUGUGUUUCUGAAACCAGUUGUGGCAAUAGACUUUUCAGUCGUUGGCAAAGCACCUUCGAAAUAAUCUUAUAUCCUACAUUACAUAGACUUACAGGCCGUAAUUCCGUCAUUUUACUCGGUCGCACCGUUUUUGGAAUGAGGCAAAUAUUAGUCAUAUUUACCCUCUCAUCCAAAUAUCCAGUCCUAAAAAACUCGUUAACCAUACUUGUGACAUCUGAUUUAAUAAUCGACCAAGAUUGUUGGAAAAAUAAAGCCGUCAUUCCAUCUGGUCCUGGAGCCUUUUCUGGAUGCAUCAUGAAUAAAGCUGAUCUUACUUCUUCCUCUGAUGCCCAAGAAGUUAGAGGCCUAUUUUGAUCCUCUGUAAUCAGUGUGGGUACCUCUUUUAAGAAUUCCUCAUAGCCCGAUGGU
rnacentral:lncRNA from 1 species